AGUGGCGGACGGGUGAGUAACACGUAAGAAUUUGCCUUUAGGAGGGGGACAACAACUGGAAACGGUUGCUGAUACCCCAUAUGCUUUCGAGUGAAACGGAUUUUUCCGCCUAAAGAGAAGCUUGCGGCUGAUUAGCUUGUUGGUGAGGUAAUGGCUCACCAAGGCGACGAUCAGUAUCUGGUUUGAGAGGACGAUCAGACACACUGGAACUGAGACACGGUCCAGACUCCUACGGGAGGCAGCAGUGGGGAAUUUUCCGCAAUGGGCGAAAGCCUGACGGAGCAAUACCGCGUGAGGGAUGACGGCCUAUGGGUUGUAAACCUCUUUUUUCAGGGAGGAAUCAAAUGACGUGUACCUGAAGAAUAAGCAUCGGCUAACUCCGUGCCAGCAGCCGCGGUAAGACGGGGGAUGCAAGUGUUAUCCGGAAUCACUGGGCGUAAAGCGUCUGUAGGUGGUCAAAUAAGUCAACUGUUAAAUCUUGAGGCUCAACCUCAAAAUCGCAGUCGAAACUAUUAGACUAGAGUAUAGUAGGGGUAAAGGGAAUUUCCAGUGGAGCGGUGAAAUGCGUAGAGAUUGGAAAGAACACCGAUGGCGAAGGCACUUUACUGGGCUAUUACUAACACUCAGAGACGAAAGCUAGGGUAGCAAAUGGGAUUAGAUACCCCAGUAGUCCUAGCCGUAAACAAUGGAUACUAGAUGU
rnacentral:rRNA from 1 species